rnacentral:rRNA from 1 species
AAAGUUUGAUCCUGGCUUUGAAUGAAUGCUCGCAAUAAGCUUUACACAUGCAAGUCGAACGAAAAAUAAUUUUAUUUAUUUUUAGUGGCGUACCGGUGAGGAAUGAUAUAAGGAUGUAACUAGUGUUGGUUUAGGGUUAAAUGUAGAAAUUUUUUUCAAAGUGAAUCCUAAAUAGGAAAAAAGAUUUUAUUGCCAAUAUGUCAACUUAUAUGAGGAUUAGGUAGUUGGCGGGGUAACAGCCCACCAAGCCUACGAUCCUUAGUUGGUCUGAGAGGAUGGUCAACCACAUUGGGACUGAAACAAGGCCCAAGCUCUUUCGAGAGGCAGCAGUGAGGAAUAUUGGACAAUGAGCGAAAGCUUGAUCCAGCUAUAUUGCAUGGGUGAUGAAGGUAGAAAUUGUAAAACCCUUUUGUCGAUGAAGAUAAUGACUUAAUCGAAGAAUUAGCCCUGACUAACCUCGUGCCAGCAGUCGCGGUAAUACGGGGAGGGCGUGUGUUAUUCAGCGUUACUGGGCGUAAAGGGCAUCUAGGCUGUUUAAUAAGUUCUUUGUAAAAGCUUAUGGCUUAACCGUAAAAGAUAUAAAGAAUACUGUUGAACUUGAGUAUAGGGGAAGAUAGCGAUACUUUUAAAGGAGAGGUAGAAUGCUGCGAUAAUAAAAGGGUCAUCAACUAGCGAAGGCGGCUAUCUAUUUUAUCACUGACGCUGACGUGCGAAAGCGUGGGUAGCAAACAGGAUUAGAGACCCUGGUAGUCCACGCCCUGACCGAUGAGCGUUGAAUGUUGGGAGACUUAAAAGUCUUUCAGUGUUUAAGCUAACGCGUUAAACGCUCCGCCUGGGGAGUACGGUCGCAAGGUUAAAACUCAAAGGAAUUGACGGAGAUCUGAACAAGCGGUGGAACAUGUGGUUUAAUGCGACAUAACGCGCAGAACCUUACCAGGAAUGGACUACUAAGGUAGAUCCGUUUUAAUCUACGAGGUGAUUUUUUAUUUAUAAAGUUAAAUACUAAAUACUUAGUGCAGGUGCUGCAUGGCUGUCGUCAGCUCGUGCCGUAAGGUGUUUGGUUAACUCCAUUAACGGGCGCAACCCUCGUUAUUUAUUGCUUAAUCUUAAAAAGAAGCUCUUAAAUAGACGGUCUUUGUAAAGAAGAAGGAAGGUGGGGACCAUGUCAAGUCAGUAUGACCUUUAUGAUCUGGGCUACACAUGUGUUACAAUGGUGACUACAAAGAGAUGCAAUAAGGUGACUUGGAGCGAAACUUAAAAAGUUAUCUCAGUUCGGAUUAUUCUCUGCAAUGGGAAUAUGAAGGUGGAAUCGCUAGUAAUCGUGGAUCAGAACGCCACGGUGAAAUGUCAAACGGAUCUUGUACACACCGCCCGUCACGCCACGGGAGUAGUCUUUACAUGAAAUAGUUAUGAUUAUGAUUUAUUCAGUUGUUUUUUGUUAUUUUUAAGUAAGUAAAAAAAG